UUCACUUCAGCUUGCCAGCUGGUGGUAUUGCUGCCAGGGACUACAUUUCCCGAAAAUCUAAAGAUGGACUAGUGGUAUGCGGAGCUCUCCUUUUUGGGGACUGCCAUAGACGCUGUCGGACUCCGAGUCUGGGCAGGGACACACGGCUUUCGAACAGAGGAGGCUGGAUCUGGUUUCCCGAAGAAGACACUGCACGGAUUGGAAGAGAAGAAAAGCUUUUCUGGAGUUGGGGAAGAUCCGGUCAUUGCAAGAUAGCCUGUAUGAGGACCUUCGUCCUUCCCUAGUGGUGAGAAUUUGGGGCGCAGUGGAGGCAGUGAGAGAGGCUCAUACUCCUGAAAGAGGAGUCUCAGAGGGAGGCCCAGUCUGGCCGUCUGCCUGUCUGCGCAGAUAGAGAGCUGGGCACUUACUGACCACACAGUGCACUUGGCAGAUUGACAACAUCUGGAACCCGGUUUUACCCCCCUACCACGGAGGUGGAACGCAGACCAGAAUUGGGACCUCACGUUCCUCUGGAACGGUCAUGGACUCUGCACAUACUCUUUCGCUGGACCCCUGGCUGCCUGUUUCCAGGCUAUUUCCGAAGCUCCUCCUAAUCGCCCGCGCUGUGUAGAAGUUUGGAAAGAACGGGGCAAAGGAAAAGGGGUGGGGCGGAGGGCGUGGCCACCAUGGAACCAAUGACUUUCUACCUGCGUCCCUCUAGACUACCUACCUGCUGAGCAGGAGGUCUACUGCACAGACAGGACAAGACAAGAGAGAUAUAGAGACAAACUGACAGAUGGACGUACAGCCAACAUGCGUGCAGGAACAGGACCCUGAACUUGUUGGCUAGACUUUGGAGGGGGGGGUCACACUAGUGCAUGCUACUGUGUAGGGAGAGAGCAGAAGGACAGAAACACUGACCCCUGCUGGUCCUGUAAGGUGGGAACAAGAGGGGCGGUCGAAGAUUGAGGUGUUGACUCGCCUCUUUUCCUUCUGGGCUGGGCGGGGACGCUGGGAGGCUGAACGGAGGCCAGACAAGCGUGGGGGGGGUGGUGGCAGGUGGCGGCGGAGGCAGAU